rnacentral:rRNA from 1 species
AUUGAACGCUGGCGGCAGGCCUAACACAUGCAAGUCGAGCGGCAGCGGAAAGUAGCUUGCUACUUUGCCGGCGAGCGGCGGACGGGUGAGUAAUGUCUGGGAAACUGCCUGAUGGAGGGGGAUAACUACUGGAAACGGUAGCUAAUACCGCAUAACGUCGCAAGACCAAAGAGGGGGACCUUCGGGCCUCUUGCCAUCAGAUGUGCCCAGAUGGGAUUAGCUAGUAGGUGGGGUAAUGGCUCACCUAGGCGACGAUCCCUAGCUGUUCUGAGAGGAUGACCAGCCACACUGGAACUGAGACACGGUCCAGACUCCUACGGGAGGCAGCAGUGGGGAAUAUUGCACAAUGGGCGCAAGCCUGAUGCAGCCAUGCCGCGUGUAUGAAGAAGGCCUUCGGGUUGUAAAGUACUUUCAGCGGGGAGGAAGGUGUUGAGGUUAAUAACCUCAGCAAUUGACGUUACCCGCAGAAGAAGCACCGGCUAACUCCGUGCCAGCAGCCGCCGUAA